AACGAACGCUGGCGGCAGGCUUAACACAUGCAAAUCGAGCGGGCCCGCAAGGGUCAGCGGCGGACGGGUUAGUAACGCGUGGGAACGUGCCUUUUGCUUCGGAAUAGCCCUGGGAAACUGGGGGUAAUACCGGAUGUGCCCUGAGGGGGAAAGAUUUAUCGGCAAGAGAUCGGCCCGCGUUGGAUUAGGUAGUUGGUGGGGUAACGGCCCACCAAGCCGACGAUCCAUAGCCGGUUUGAGAGGAUGAUCAGCAACACUGGGACUGAGACACGGCCCAGACUCCUACGGGAGGCAGCAGUGGGGAAUCUUAGACAAUGGGCGCAAGCCUGAUCUAGCCAUGCCGCGUGGGUGAUGAAGGCCUUAGGGUCGUAAAGCCCUUUCGCCGGGGAAGAUAAUGACGGUACCCGGUAAAGAAACCCCGGCUAACUCCGUGCCAGCCGCCGCGGUAA
rnacentral:rRNA from 1 species